CGAGCCCAUGUAUACCAAAUCUUAUGAUCGGGAUAAUUCAGAAGUCAGUACUACCCAGGAUUUCACACAGCAAGAAAGAAAGAAGGGAAAUUCAUAUGCACAGUCACAUUUUAUCUACACAUAUGCUGCCAUUGUCAACGAUCGGCACGGCACAUGAUUGAACGGCCAAAGAGGCAGAAGCUACAGGAGCACGCGGAAAUUCAUUAAGAUAGGCUUCAGGACGACCAGCAGCUGAGCCGCACGGCCUCGUCGAACUUGCUCGCCAGCGUGGCGGGCUCAUCCUCCUCCUCCUCCUCGCCGCCGGCCCGACGCGGCCUCUCCUUCCCUUCGUGCCCCGCCGCAUCCCGCCGCUUCGGCGCCAGGACGCCGAGGGAGAAGAAGACAUUGCCAAGGCCGAACCUGAAGCCGCCGGUGCCGGCGCCGGCGCCGUCCUUGCCGUGUGGCGCGUCGGCGGGGCCGUGGUGGAGCUGGUGGUAGCUCAGGAACAGCAUCGACGCGCUCGGGGCCAUCGCCUAGCAAGCUAUGAUCCGCUUCGACCGACACUUUUCAGAAGGACCACGACGAUCUUGGAUUGGAUCAGGUUGGAUUGGGAUGGAUUGGAUUGGGAUGCAGUUCUGCUUGCUUCUUGGCUUCCUCGGGGUAUUUAUAUAUGGGGGGAAUGCGGGCUUUGAUCGUUCGUCCGUUCGAGAGGGAUGGGCGUGACGUGGCUGUUGGAUCGGAUAGGGCGGGCCCGCCACGUCGGCAUGGGGGCGCGUGCCGCCCGGGGUUUCCCGGGGGAAACCAGUGGGCUGUGUUGGAAGGUCCGACCGGGUGGCGCGUGGUAUCAGCGGGGUCCGGUGGGCUCGCG
rnacentral:lncRNA from 1 species